UGGGGAAUUUUGGACAAUGGGCGCAAGCCUGAUCCAGCAAUGCCGCGUGAGUGAAGAAGGCCUUCGGGUUGUAAAGCUCUUUCAGUUGAGAAGAAAAGAUUGUGACUAAUAAUUGCAAUUCAUGACGGUAUCAACAGAAGAAGCACCGGCUAACUACGUGCCAGCAGCCGCGGUAAUACGUAGGGUGCGAGCGUUAAUCGGAAUUACUGGGCGUAAAGGGUGCGCAGGCGGUUCUGUAAGUCAGAUGUGAAAUCCCCGGGCUUAACCUGGGAACUGCGUUUGAAACUACAGAGCUAGAGUGUGGCAGAGGGGGGUGGAAUUCCAUGUGUAGCAGUGAAAUGCGUAGAGAUAUGGAAGAACAUCGAUGGCGAAGGCAGCCCCCUGGGUCAACACUGACGCUCAUGCACGAAAGCGUGGGGAGCAAACNGGAUUAGAUACCCAGUAGUCCCUGAGCGGGCUGGCAAGGCGCAU
rnacentral:rRNA from 1 species